GUCUUCGUGGUGUAACGGUAGCACAUUCGGCCCGUAUUCGAAAGGUCUAGGUGCGAGUCCUGGCGAGGGCA
rnacentral:tRNA from 1 species